AUCAUAUAUUAUGCAAUGUUAUAAAAAAAGAAGAAUGUCACUUCCGUGAUAUUAUUUCCCGAAACGAAAAUGGUUUCGUGAUUUUUCUGCGCGUUUGUGAAACGAAUCCUUCGAUCGAGCAGCGUGGCGAGUGAUUUAAUUGUUAGAUGUGUUGAAAUUGAAACCGUGUCGUGACAUCCAUCUAAAACGAUUAACCACGAGAACGUUUGUAUUUUCCAGAGCAGUUAUCGAACCACAUCCAAAAUUACGGAUGGUGUCGCGCGAUGGCUAAUCGUAAAACGGCUCAUCCUCGAGUUCUCCGCAAGGAGAUGAGACACCUAUGUCCAAAAUGUGGGCGUACGUUCACCUGGCGGUACAAUCUGCAACAUCAUUUGAAGUACGCUUGUGGACAAUUGCCCCGAUUCAACUGUCCCUAUUGCGCUUACAGGACUAAACACACGUCGAACGUUAGGGCCCAUGUGCGUAGAAAGCAUCCGGAUAGAGAAGUCUACGUUGUCGAUCUGAUGAGUGUUCAGCAUUGAGCGAAGCAUACGAUUAAAGUGCUAUAUGUAGAUGAAAAAUUGCGUGAUAAAUUGCGCUUCGAUCACCGAAUUUUAAUAAAAAUCAUCCUUAUCCGACGAACACUCACUCGUUCUUUGAAAAAUCCUUGCGUGCAUGUCGUUUCCUUCGUACGUAUAUCAUAUGUUUUUUCUUUAUAUCGUGAUAUUAUUGUAUAUUUAUAUAUUGUAUAUUUUAUAUAUUGUAAGAUAUAUUGGACCUCGAUUUGGGAUUAUAGUAAUAUUUUUAUGUUGCUCGGAAUUUAAAAACUCUAAGAAUUCUCAAAGUUUCGAAAACUUUCCAGAUUCUGAGACUCGAAUAUAAACGUUAAUCCGACUUCGGCUCGAUUCGGUAAUAAUCGGACGUGAUCGGGUUCCGUAGCUCCGAGAUCACUUCCGAUUAUUGCCGAGUUGAGCCGAAGUUCGAAGUUGUUAAUACUUUUAAUUCGAGCCUAAAAAUCUUAAAAGUUUGAAGACGAAACAUGAUACGAAGUUUCGAGAAUUUCUUGAAAAUUUUGGGGCCGAGCAAUAUGUGAACGAGAUAUUUGUGAUUUUUUUUCAGAGACAAACUACUUAAUACCGCAUCAGAAGGAAAAGGAAGUUCGUUGGUCGUCGAUCAGAGGAAGCACGUUCUCGCGAACGGACGAACAACAUGUGCAAAAGUUUCCUUGCGGGAAUUGUCACAGCGUGUUCAGCAGAAGACACAAUCUUCAAUAUCAUUUGAAAUUCGAGUGUGGACAGUCGCCACGAUUUAAUUGUCCUUAUUGCGUGUACAGAACGAAACAUCCUUCUAAUGUGCGUGCCCACGUGCGCAGAAUUCAUCCUGGCAACGAGGUCUACGUUAUAGAUAUAAACAAGAUUUCAAACUGUGAUUUUUCAUAGUGUUCGUUAUCCAGUAUCGCGUCAUCCGUGUUAUCUCGAUGGUCACCAAUACAUGCAGAAUCACGAGCGAAGCAAAAAGUAUUCUUGCCACAAAUGUGGCAACGUUUUCACGCGAAAGAAUAAUUUGUACAAGCAUCUGAAAUUUCAGUGUGGCCAGAUGCCGAGAUUCUGUUGCCCUUAUUGUUCAUAUUGCACGAGACAUUCGUCGAAUGUUAGAUCUCACAUACGUAGAAUGCAUCAUAACCAAAGAGUGUACGUCGUGGAUAUUAUCAACAAUCAAUCCAAGAACGACGUAAUGCAAUAAUUGCAUUCUAAUAAUGCAAACAAAAAGCGAAAGACGACAAGAGGAUUAUUAUACACACAAAUAAUUGUUUUAUUUUAUUUUUUUUUUUUUUAAUUUGCGUUAAAAUCGAAUAAUAUAUUCUAUACGAUAGAGAUAAAUCUACUGUAUUAAAAUUGUACAUGUAACAUAUUAGGCGAACAAAGUUUUGUCGAAUAUCACUUUGUACAGCAUUUUUAUUUCGUAAUGUGACACAUUUUAUCAUACAACCGUUAAUAUUUCUAAAUACGUUUCUUAAAAUUUUUGCGAUAAUAUUUGCUAGAUUGCGAGUAUUACGAUUAUAAUUACGCGUUUUUAGCUCUUUUUUUCAUCGAUGACACCACAUUCGAUAAUUAUCUAACUUUGCGUAACCCGUAAGAAGUUGGAUUCUCGAUAAGAGCAGAACUUUUG
rnacentral:lncRNA from 1 species